UACAGGGGGUGCAAACGUUGCUCGGAAUUAUUGGGCGUAAAGCGCGCGUAGGCGGCUACUUAAGUCGGAUGUGAAAGCCCUUGGCUCAACUGAGGAAGUGCACCCGAAACUGAGUAGCUUGAGUACCAAAGAGGGUCGCGGAAUUCCCGGUGUAGAGGUGAAAUUCGUAGAUAUCGGGAGGAACACCGGUGGCGAAGGCGGCGACCUGGGUCGAUACUGACGCUGAGGUGCGAAAGCGUGGGGAGCAAACAGG
rnacentral:rRNA from 1 species